GGCGCGGGGGCCAUUUUGGGGCGGCCAGGGCCCGGGGUGAGGGCGGCGCGGCCGUGAGGUGCUCGGGCACUUCACGCGUUUGUGAGGCACGAUUCGCACAACGGGGCUCCAUGCUUCCCCUGGCUGCUGCUCCCUGCCUGCCGCCGGGCACCUUCAGCCUGUGGUCGUCGUGUGUGUGGGCGUUGCGCUAAAAAACACCCCAAAGAGCCCCCUCCUCAGCCAUUGCCUCACUCAGGCAGCAUGAAGGCCUAGUUACAGGAGUGUGCUGCAAUACCGUGGUUUUCUUUGUCCUGUCACACAGGUAACUCACCUACCACUGCUUCAUCUGGGCAAUAGGUGUGUGAGGGCUAUUAUCUGCUCUUCCGUGCUGCAGGACUGGCCUGUACGUGUUUAAUCAGUGCAAACGUGGUGCCUGUGUCUCUUCCUACUAUAUGGCGGUCAGUGCGGCUCCGGCCGUGCCGGCACCUCGCCAGCACACUGCUGAAGGGAGCAAACAACUGGAAACUGAUCGUUUGCAACUGCAGAAUAUCCUCUCUACUACGAUCAAACGCAUUGCUGGAGGAGCAUGAUACUGAUGUGAUCAGUUACCGAGUGAGAAGCAGCUCACCUACACGACCACUUUCUAGUCAGAAGCAACCGAAGGAUGGGUUGAAUACUGCCAUCCACUGGCUGGCUGCACAGAAAACUUGAACUUCAAUUUCUUUAAGGUAAUUAGAAAGUACCUGGUGGCAUUUUGUUUUGUUUUUC
rnacentral:lncRNA from 1 species